rnacentral:rRNA from 1 species
UACGUAGGGACCAAGCGUUGUUCGGAUUUACUGGGCGUAAAGGGCGCGUAGGCGGCGUGUUAAGUCAGCUGUGAAAUCUCCAAGCUUAACUUGGAACGGUCAGCUGAUACUGAUGUGCUAGAGUGCAGAAGGGGCAAUCGGAAUUCUUGGUGUAGCGGUGAAAUGCGUAGAUAUCAAGAGGAACACCUGAGGUGAAGACGGGUUGCUGGGCUGACACUGACGCUGGGAGGCGACGAAAGGC